rnacentral:rRNA from 1 species
UACAGAGACUGCAAGCGUUAUUCGGAUUCACUGGGCGUAAAGGGUGCGCAGGCGGCCAAGUGUGUGAGGCGUGAAAGCCUGGGGCUUAACUCCAGAAUUGCACCUCAAACUACAUGGCUAGAGCAUUGGAGAGGGUAGCAGAAUUCACGGUGUAGCAGUGAAAUGCGUAGAUAUCGUGAGGAAUACCAGAGGCGAAGGCGGCUACCUGGACAAUUGCUGACGCUCAGGCACGAAAGCCGUGGGGAGCAAAAGGG